AGUGAACGCUGGCGGUAGGCCUAACACAUGCAAGUCGAACGGCAGCACAGUAAGAGCUUGCUCUUACGGGUGGCGAGUGGCGGACGGGUGAGGAAUACAUCGGAAUCUACUUUUUCGUGGGGGAUAACGUAGGGAAACUUACGCUAAUACCGCAUACGACCUACGGGUGAAAGCAGGGGAUCUUCGGACCUUGCGCGAUUGAAUGAGCCGAUGUCGGAUUAGCUAGUUGGCGGGGUAAAGGCCCACCAAGGCGACGAUCCGUAGCUGGUCUGAGAGGAUUAUCAGCCACACUGGAACUGAGACACGGUCCAGACUCCUACGGGAGGCAGCAGUGGGGAAUAUUGGACAAUGGGCGCAAGCCUGAUCCAGCCAUACCGCGUGGGUGAAGAAGGCCUUCGGGUUGUAAAGCCCUUUUGUUGGGAAAGAAAAGCAGCAGGUUAAUACCCCGCUGUUCUGACGGUACCCAAGGAAUAAGCACCGGCUAACUUCGUG
rnacentral:rRNA from 1 species